GGGGGUGUGGCUCAGUGGUAGAGCGCUAGCUUAGCAUGUGUGAGACCCUGGGUUCGAUCCCCAGCACCACAU
rfam:Ictidomys tridecemlineatus contig079139, whole genome shotgun sequence.